rnacentral:rRNA from 1 species
GACGAGGGGUCCAAGCGUUGUUCGGAAUCAUUGGGCGUAAAGCGGGUGUAGGUGGCUCUAUAAGUCAGAAGUGAAAGCCCCGGGCUUAACCCGGGAAGUGCUUUUGAUACUGCAGAGCUUGAAUGUGGGAGAGGGUAGUGGAAUUCCAGGUGUAGCGGUGAAAUGCGUAGAUAUCAGGAGGAACACCGGUGGUGUAGACGGCUCUCUGGACCGUAACUGACGCUGAGGCACGAAAGCGUGGGUAGCAAACAGG